AGAACCGUCAGUCGAUCUCGCGAUACUUUGAUGUUAUGCACCUUGUACUUUACAUGUGACGUUUACACCUGAUCGUUUUUUCUGAUCGAAAAACCGUAUCAUUAACCCAAUCAUCAUUUUAAUGUUUAUGCGGGGACAUACAUGAACAUAAAAAGAGAAAACAAAGACAUUUUGAGAAGUUGUCCAGAAACUGAACGUUUUGAUCAAAGCAAGUCUUCAGCUGUGGAGCAGAAAGACACUUCCUUAUUCAUAGUCAGUGUUGAAGAUCAAACUGUUCACAUCCAUCAUGAAUGAAACACAAACAUCUGGAGAUGAAGAGUAUUCUCCAGCCUGCAGCUCAGUUCAUCAGAAGAGAUCAGA